rnacentral:tRNA from 1 species
GCCAAAGUAGUUCAGUGGUAGAACGCUUUCUUGGUAAGAAAGAGGUCGAGGGUUCGAUUCCCUCCUUUGGCUCAA